AACGAACGCUGGCGGCAGACUCAACACAUGCAAGUCGAGCGCCCCGUAAGGGGAGCGGCAGACGGGUGAGUAACGCGUGGGAAUCUACCCAUCUCUACGGAAUAACGCAUGGAAACGUGUGCUAAUACCGUAUACGUCCUUCGGGAGAAAGAUUUAUCGGAGAUGGAUGAGCCCGCGUUGGAUUAGCUAGUUGGUGGGGUAAAGGCCUACCAAGGCGACGAUCCAUAGCUGGUCUGAGAGGAUGAUCAGCCACACUGGGACUGAGACACGGCCCAGACUCCUACGGGAGGCAGAAGUGGGGAAUAUUGGACAAUGGGCGCAAGCCUGAUCCAGCCAUGCCGCGUGAGUGAUGAAGGCCCUAGGGUUGUAAAGCUCUUUCACCGGUGAAGAUAAUGACGGUAACCGGAGAAGAAGCCCCGGCUAACUUCGUGCCAGCCGCCGCAGUAAAAC
rnacentral:rRNA from 1 species